rnacentral:lncRNA from 1 species
AUGCAUGCUAUCCCGCUUAAAUCAAAUGUCAUAUGGAUAGAACAUAAGAGUAUGAGCAAGUGGUAUACUACAACUAAUACUCAAAAUUUGCAUACUUCGCCGGAUAGAAACCUCUAUCAUGUACCAAUCUCCAGUUCCAUGAAUCAUAGAUUUACAGUCAUCUAAUAAGCAGCGUGACAACAAUUAUAUUGGCUACCACUUCCAUUCCUGCUUAUGAAAGGUCAAAAAUCUUAUUUUCAUUUCCUUGCAUGCUACAACAGACUAAGAUCUCAAAACAUCAGAGACAAGAAUGGAUAUGUUCAUGCUACGAUACAACACUCAGCAAUAUUCCAGCAAUUUUCAAUCCUUCAAACAAAGUACAGAAAUGGCAAAUUCUAUCGACUACAGAUGCAUCUGCCCAAAUGAUCAUUGCUAAGCUCGAGGAAACCUCUUCAUAAAUUUAAACAGCAGCAGGAGUUUUGCUGUCAAUAGACUUGAGCACUUCUUCACCCAUUUUCUUGCACCCCACCAAUUUCUGAAGGCAAGUGUUUCAGCUCAUUCAGCAAGUUUGAUAUGAAAACGAUUAGUUACUGAAACUAAAUUUUGGCAUUCAGGUUAUUUGGUCCAACCUAUGAUAAAGGUGAGAAAUAUUAACUUUGUUUUUUUUUUUUCCGCUUUUGCUGGAUGUUUGCUGCAUGUCCUUUCAAGUGCAAGAUCAGACAGAUGAAAAUUCACAACCAAGAAGCAUUGAGGUCACCUACAGACGUAACAUCACAAAUUUUAUGUCCAAACGCCUACUUGGAUGCAUAUAAUCCCACACUUUUUAAUGAACAUAUGGAUGAGCAUAGAGUAGGAGCAAGGGGUAUGCUACAACUAAUACUAAAAAUUUACAUACUUUACCGAUAGUAACCUGUAUCAUGUAAGUUUACAGGUAUUUAAUGUAGCAGCGACAACAACUAUAUUGGUUACCAGUCCUCCGUUCCUGCCUUUUAAAGGUCAAAAAUCUUAUUUUCAUUUCCUU